rnacentral:rRNA from 1 species
AACGAACGCUGGCGGCGUGCUUAACACAUGCAAGUCGAGCGGGAAAACGGGCUUUCGGGCCUGUGAGUAGAGCGGCGAACGGGUGAGUAACACGUGAGUAACGUACCCUGGGGUUGGGGAUAACAGUGCGAAAGCGCUGCUAAUACCGAAUGAGCUCACGGUGUCUUCGGACACAGGGAGAAAAGCGGGCCUCUGACAUAAGCUCGCGCCUCGGGAUCGGCUCGCGGCCCAUUAGCUUGUUGGUGGGGUAAUGGCCUACCAAGGCUACGAUGGGUAGCUGGUCUGAGAGGAUGAUCAGCCACACUGGAACUGAGACACGGUCCAGACUCCUACGGGAGGCAGCAGUGGGGAAUCUUGCGCAAUGGGCGAAAGCCUGACGCAGCAACGCCGCGUGUGCGAUGAAGGCCUUCGGGUUGUAAAGCACUGUCA